rnacentral:piRNA from 1 species
UGGACUUUUUCUAAAAAUUUGCUGAGAGG